rnacentral:rRNA from 1 species
GUUUAAUUAAUUUUAUAUUUUUAUAAUUUUAGAAUUUUAUUUUUUAGAGUAUAAAUUUUAAUUUGAUUGGGGUGAUUUUAAAAUUUAAAAAACUUUUAUAAAUUUUAUACACUAAUUAGUGGUUUAAUGAUCCAUUAUUAAUGAUUAAUAGAUUAAAU